GAUGAACGCUGACAGAAUGCUUAACACAUGCAAGUCGAUGGGGAAGUGGUGCUUGCACCAUGGUAACCAUGGCGGACGGGUGAGUAACGCGUAAGGAACUUGCCUGCGGGACUGGGAUAGCAGCAGGAAACUGCUGAUAAUACCGGAUAAGGUCAUUAAGCUGCAUAGCUUAGUGAUGAAAGGAGACGCCUGCGGAGAGCCUUGCGUCCUAUUAGCUAGUUGGAGGGGUAACGGCCCACCAAGGCGAAGAUAGGUAGCCGGCCUGAGAGGGUGGACGGCCACAAGGGGACUGAGAUACGGCCCUUACUCCUACGGGAGGCAGCAGUGGGGAAUAUUGGACAAUGGGGGCAACCCUGAUCCAGCAAUUCUGUGUGCACGAAGACGGUUUUCGGAUUGUAAAGUGCUUUCAGCAGGGAAGAAGUAAGUGACGGUACCUGCAGAAGAAGCGACGGCUAAAUACGUGCCAGCAGCCGCGGUAAUACGUAUGUCGCGAGCGUUAUCCGGAAUUAUUGGGCAUAAAGGGCAUCUAGGCGGCCUUUCAAGUCAGGGGUGAAAACCUGCGGCUCAACCGCAGGCCUGCCUUUGAAACUGAUAGGCUGGAGUACCGGAGAGGUGGACGGAACUGCACGAGUAGAGGUGAAAUUCGUAGAUAUGUGCAGGAAUGCCGAUGAUGAAGAUAGUUCACUGGACGGUAACUGACGCUGAAGUGCGAAAGCCGGGGGAGCAAACAGG
rnacentral:rRNA from 1 species